GGAGUGGGUAUAGCUCAGUGGUAGAGCACAUGCUUAGCAUGCAUGAGGUCCUGGGUUCAAUCCCCAGUACCUCCU
rnacentral:tRNA from 1 species